ACUGGUAAGCUUCUCUUUUUCCUCUUUCACUUUUCUAUUUUGCUCAAUUCACUCGAGUAUUUCUACCUCUUCUUUCGGAAGUUUGGGUUAAACUUUGUUGUUGGAUCUAAUGGACGCCGUCUGUUGCAUGGAUAGAAUUCAUAUGUUGAAUCCACUUCUUCAUCUCAUAUGCACAAGAUUGUAGACCCAUCUCAAUUUUGCAAUGACUUCUAUCACAUACCAGAAAAGACCUCAAGAUUCAACUGGAUAUAUAGAUGAAAGAACACACACAUCUAGGUGUUGUAAGCUGGAGUUUUGUUGAUUUGAUCUAACUAAUAGAAAAAAGGGGAUCCUACCGGAGCAACCAUGGUACUGCAAAAUUGGUUAGGAUCGUUGCU